CUAACGGCUGAACCAGCAACUUGGAAGAAUGUAUAGCGAAAGCUAGUUGUAUUAAUUAUUAGUUAAUGCAGCAUCGACUACGUCGACUAAAGUUCUAGGUAGAAUUAUGAUGAUGACAUUUUCUACUUAUGUGUCUUGACCAAAUCACGUGCCAGCAGUCGCGGCAAGACGUGGAAGACUAGUGUUAUUCAUCUUUAAAAGGUUUAAAGGGUACUUAGACGGUAAACUAAGCCCCCAAAGGGUACUAAUUUACUAGAGUUUUAUGUGAGAGAGUUCUGGAGAACUGAUGAGUGUAGAGAUGAAAUUCUUUGAUACCGUUAUAGGAACAGGUAAGGGCGAAAGCGACUCUUUAUGUAAAAACUGACGUUGAAGGACGAAGGCUUAGUACCCCAAACAGGAUUAGAUACCCUAGUAGGCUAAGCAGAAAAUUAUGAAUGUCAUAGAUUAGAAAAAAAAAUUUUUUUUUGUUUAUAAAUGAAAGUGUAAACAUUCCACCUUGAGAGUAAUGUGGCAACGCAGAAACCGAAAUCAUUAGACCGUUUCUGAAACCAGUAGUGAAGUAUGUUGUUUAAUUUGAUUAUACGCAAAAAACCUUACCACAAUUUGAAUAUUUUAUUAUUAUAAAAAUACGGGCGUUGCACGGCUGUCUUCAGUUAAUGUCGUGAGAUUUUGGUUAAUUCCAUUAAAUUAACGUAAACCCUUACUUUAUUUUUUUAUUAUAAAGUAGUUCACCGCUAUAUUGGAUAUGAUAAUAGGGACUAAGACAAGUCAUCAUGACCUGAAUAUUGUGGGCUAUAGACGUGCCACAUAGUCCUCUACAAAGGGAUGCAAAAUUGUGAAAUUUAGCUAAUCCUUAAAAUGGAA
rnacentral:rRNA from 1 species